CUGUGGCCCGUGCGACGCGCCGCCGCCGCCGCCAAAUGGAGUGGAAGAGUAGUCCCAUUAAACGCCCGUCUCCCCUCCUGAGAGGGAGGCUAACGGCCUCUCGCUCCCCGGCAGAAAGCGCUGACGCGGUUCUUUUUGUUUCUUCGUUUGACUGAAACGCCUCCUGACCGUCGUGACACCGACGCUUUUCUUCCUCUGGGAUUCCGGGGCCGUAAAGUGCUGCUCAGGAGAGCGUUAGCCAGGCUCUAACCAAUCGGAUGCUCCGGGCUGUAGAUCCCAACCGGGUGCCGGAGGGGCUGAUGAUGAAAGCGUGAUCAGAAGAAGGCCGUCGCUCCCCGGUGGCGUGUGUGUGUGUGUGUGUGUGUGUGUGUGUGUGUGUGUGUGUGUGUGUGUGUGUGUGUGUGUGUGUGUGUGUGUGUGUGUGUGCUGCAGCCCACAGCCACUGACGAUGAGCCGUGUCAAAUCUGACACACGGAAACACACACAAACGGCAACUCUGACUGCCGGUUGUGACGAAAAACCAAUUUACCAGGCAAGAAAAAUUCUGUUUGUGAAUUGUGGGGGUUGCUGUCCUUCAUCUGGUUGCUUUAGCGUCUCUUCCGUCACGCGUUGGGGGGGAAGCGGGCUCCCGUUCGGCCUCUGUUAGGACUUGUUGUCACAAAUCAGGGAUUUCGAGCCGAUGAAAGAGUUUAUUGUAGUUGAGUAGGCGGAAUGCACGAGGAGCAUAAUGCAGGUGGGAGGCACAUUUCUCUCGAACGCAGAAGCUUUGGCAUCAAGACGGACGGAUGAAGGACUGAGGAACGCUCGAGGACCUUUUUGAUCGUCAACGUGCGCCGUGGUGUCGUCUAAUGAGGGAACACUCGGGCAGACCUACACGUGUAGCACAUACACCCCCCCCCUCUCACAGAGACCUCUAUGCCUGGUAGGGAUGCCUCGGGCUUAGUCAUGCGUUCCCGUCACUGCACUGCACGUCUGAACGACCCGGUGAUCUCAUACCCCUGCUCGCCAUGUUUUGCUUAUUGGGCAGUUAAAUCACGAAACGACACCCAGCCUAAAUGUCGUGAUCAGUAAGUAAUGGAAGAUGGCAGAACAUGGAUUGUGUUUUGUAAUUGGAAUGUAUAAGUAAAGUCUACACGACAUGAAGAAAACAAUCUGAUGUCGCUUGGACCCGUUACAUUAAUUCUCCUUAUAAUUAACGUAACGGCAGCAGAGCUGUACUGCAGCACGAGAGACGCCGAAAAAAAGCCUCCAGCCCUCAAAAAGAAGAUCCCUUCAGAUGUUGUAUAAAAAGUUGGGGGGAAAAAAUGGAGCAGCACAGUGACCGUAUGAAGUAGUGUGUCGUGUCAAAGGGGUUGAUCGCUACUUGUCCGUUUCACGUUGCUAAGAAACACGCCAGGAAGGAAUAAUUGAACAUGUGCUCUUUGGUGAUUUAUGCGUUUGUCCAAUUACGGGCUGUUUGGACUGAUUCAGAAAUGAAGCUGAAUAAAACUGUACAUUUGUUUUUUUUUUAAAUUAGAGCCACAUUGUUUCUAUUGGUUUUGCCUUCACACAGACACGUCCUCACUGUGCACUGAGACGUCCUACUUUAUCUUAUAAGGUUCAUUUGUUGGCCUCGUCCUUCAGGUUGGGAUACGAUAAUCACUGAACAUUUAAAGGAUUUGAGAGGCUUUCUUUUGGGGGCCGUUAGUCAUAUCAGAAGCGUUGUGUUUGUCUUGAGUUAUUGAUUUAUUUUUCCAUUUGAAUGACAAAAGCACACGGAGAAGCCCAUUGUGUUAACGGAUCAAUAAUUGUCUUUGCAUGUGAGUGAAGUAACUAGGAUCUCUGCCAUCGUUAAUCCUCAAACGGGACAGAAUCUAUCCAACAGGCUUCAAUUGUCCAACAUGAUGCCACGUCCUC
ensembl:lncRNA